UUUCUCAGCUUCUCUUCUUGGAUCCAUGACUCAAGCCCUGAAUAAUUUUUCACUCUUCAGAAACCAGUCAGAAAUAUGCCUCUGCCUACUCUGCCCAAUUAUGUCAAGAAAUGAAGAAAGAAAAAGAAGGGGGAUAGUGGUGGAGGAAUUUUAAAUAUAAGCAUUGUGAAGGUUACUUCUAAAGGAGUAAUUUGGCUGAAUACCGCAAAUCAAUGGUUGAUAGUAUCCUGGAGUGGCUGCUGGAACCUUCAAAGAUAUACAAGAUGUUCUAUUUUUCAAGUUUUCUGUGG